AAUACCUGAGCAAGGUGGAGCGAAUAGAACACUAAUAGUGCAUGUAAGCAUACUUACUCCGUAAAAUCACCGUUAAAUCACAAAGAACUCCGUGUCAUAGGUCUAUUCUUUUAGUUUGUCAUAGAUAGGCUUAGCGAGCUAGAGUGUGAGGAGCUGUCUUGUGCGAAGGAAGAAGGAGCAUCACUCUUGUGAAAGCUAUACUCAUGCUAUACUCAUGCUAUACUCCACUCAACAAAGCCAAAAGACAUCUCACGGAGUCAGAAGGAGUAAAAGGGUUGCUAAUACAGAUCUGCAGACUGAUGAUGAUGCCAGUGUAUCUGUUAAGAAGACAGCAAAAUCGAAGCCUUAACUGCUAUUAUUACUUAACAUUAAUUGUAUAGCUUGUAGUAUAGCUCAGAAUGUUUAUUUACUAUUGUAUAUAAUUAUGUGCAAUAAUAUAUAUAGUUACUAGUUUCCCUCA